rnacentral:lncRNA from 1 species
UUUUUUGUUUUUUUUUUCUGAACCUUCGCAUUGAAUCUUUGAAGACUUGCCAGGUUAGGUACGGUGGAUGGUUUCUGGGAUGGUUCCCAAUGGUGUCUGCUUCCUGGUACUUAUGGCCUUGCCAGUAAUUCCAUUCCCCAGAGUGUGGGGCAGACCUGGUGACUCAUUUCUAAUGCAGAGCAUAUGCAAAGAGGCCAGGGCUGUCACUUGUAAUAUCAAAUUACAGAAAGACUACGACUUCCACCUUACCCUUAUCUGUUCUCACUUGCUCACUCUGGUCUAAGAAACUGCCUGAUUGUGAGCUGUCCUAUGGAGAAGCUGUCGUCAGAGGAGCGGAGGGAAGCUUCCAACCAAGAGCCAGGGAGAAACAGAGGCUGUCAACCCAACAACCUUUGAGAAACUGAACCCUACCCACAACCACUUAAGUGAGCCAGGGAGCAGUUCCUCUGUGCAGUCAGAUGGCUGCAACCUCAGCUGACACCUCCAUGGCAACCUCCUGAGAAAACCAAGGACCCAGUUCCCUGACCCAUAGACACUGUGAAAUCAUAGAUAUUUGCUGUUUUAACCGGCUAAGUCUGGGGGUCAUUUGUUACAGGGCCAUUGAUAACUGAUACAUUAUACGAUGCCAUUUUUGCAGAUGAGAAAGCUAAAGCUUAGAAAGGUUAAGCAAACCUGCCUGCAUCACACAGCUGGCUGCCCACUGCUUACUGAGACGUGGACUUUAUUUCCCCUUCCUUUCAGCAGCUCCUAUGCCACUCACCCUCACGUUCUUUCCUUCAAGCUCUUGGCUUUAUUGCUCCUUCUGGUCUCAUUCUUUCUCUGCCCCUUGUCCUCUGUUUGCUUGCUUUCUGUCUUCAAUGGGGUUCUUGCCUCAACACCUUCCUUCUGUCAUCUUUCUUCCCCUUCCUGCCUUUCCCAGGACCCCAGAAGCUGAAGCACAGUAUUUACAGAUAAGACGAACUCCAUUAAGCCUUUCAGUUGCUGAUGUUCAAAAAACAUCAACCUAGAAUGACAACUACAUGGCAUCUUAGAAAUAAACUAGUCAAAUGCCCCUGCCUCUGCAGUUCACAUGGGGGGAAAUUCUUGCUACCUGAUGUUAUAGUACAUAAUAAGCAUUUUCUUAUUUAUUAACUUUUGUUCCCAAUACCUAUAAGCUCCAAAAAGUCAAAGACCCAGACUUUUUCACCACUCUUUUCUCCAGGCCUAAAAUAAGUCUUACCCCAGAGUAGGCAGGCAACAAUUAUUUUCCGAAUAUUAAAAUGAGGAAGGGGAGGAGAGAUAAAGACAGAGAACAAAGUUACAAUUUAAUAAACACCUUCUAUGGGCCAGGUAUUUAUUAAGAUUAUUGCACAUAACGAUCACAACAAUUUUAUUNGAUACCCCAAAUGUCCCACAGCAAGUAAAUGAAACCCCAGCCCUUACCCGCUUCUGUCCNUAUGGAAAAUGGGAAUAAUACAUAUACUGAAACUCAUAGGUUUCCUGCGGAAAUCACAUGAGUUAAUAUGUGAGAUACCCCAAAUGUCAGUCCCACAGCAAGUGCUCAUUAAAGCUAAGCCACAAGAAGGAUCAUAGUUGGGGACUUCCCAUUGCAUCUCACAGGUUAAGGACGCUUGUAAUCUCUGUGAGGAUGUGAGUUCAAUCCCUGACCUCGUUCAGUGGGUUAAGGAUUGGGCAUUGCCACAAGCUGCGGCAUAGGUCACAGAUGUGGCUCAGGUCUGGCAUUGCUGCGGCUAUGGCACAGGCUGCAGCUGCAGCUCUAAUUCAACCCCUAGUCCGGGAACUUCCAUAUGCCACAGGUACAGCCCUAAAAAGAAAAAAAAAAAAAAAAAAGAAUUAUCAUAGUUUAUCUUUGAACACCAGCCUCCUCAUCCAGUUAAGCCAGGAUAAAAUGUAAAUGAUUGGCCAAAGGUUAUACAACGAAGCCAGGAGAAAUGAAACCCCAGCCCCUCCCGCUUCUGUCUACCUCACCCUGGACCCCAAAUGGCUUCUGCACAGCUCCUGCCCACCCCAUCCCAAAUCUUUAGCCUCAUAACUUAGCCUCACCUUUCCAAGCUGCCCUAGGUCAUCCUUGAGGUCAUAACCAAGAGUUUCUCUGGGUUGUUCAGUAUUUGCUUCUAAAGGGAGCCUUUUUCAAAGAGAGGAGCACGGAGCCAGAAGAUGGAAGCCCCCAUAAAGAGGGAGGGGUGGGAGAGGGGGGAGAGGAAUGAGCAGGAAGCAAAGGGAAAAGAAAAAAAACAGUAGAAGGAUUUUUCCAGCAGGGCCCUGUCCGUCUCCAUGAAGCUCGAUAUACUCAUUUCCCCAGCAAAAGACUUAUUAGUUGCAGAAUAGAAUGGGGAGCCCACAGUAACGAGUCUUUAAUUACGGAACUCUUUUACCUUAUUGCUUUUGUGUGGUCCCAAUGAAAAUGAGCAGUGGCAGUUUCUAUUAGAAAUGUUAAUUACUUUCCCGGGUAAUUAGACUCACUGGGUACCGCCAGCACCUGACCUCCCUUCAUAAGUGAGAAGAUGGGAGGGAAGGAAAAAAACGGGGGGCGGGGGGACAGCGAGGAGGGGAGGUGGGGUGGAGAGGAGAGAGUUUCUAAAUGCUGAGAAAAGCAAAAUCAUCCAAAUUAGUUGAAGGGAAAAUGAAGUUACAGAGGCCCCCAGGGAAGGGUGGGAAGAUAGGAAGCCUGCUGGAAGGGGCUUGGGAACCAGGGGCCGGGAAGUGGGGUGGGGUACCUGUCAUGAAGAUGGAAACAGGGUGGCUAACCCUCUCCAAGUGAUGGGCCCUUGGAGAGAGCCCCACUCUUACAAGUGAGGCUACUGAGGCGCCAAGCUGCUCAGAGAUGUCCCAAGGUCACACAGCAGGUGGAGGCGGGGCUGAGCCCAGAGCCUUGGUGGGUACUCACUCCUUCCUUCUAGAAGCAUCCGUCGUCCUCAUGAAAAGGGCUGCUUUGACACCUGAAAAACAGAACUGAGAGAGUUCCAGCUCUCAAGGAGUUUCAGGUCUGGGGGUGCAGACAGGUAAAGGAGAUCAUGGCUGUGAAGGAAGCAGGGGGGAGGCUGUGACAAAGAAGAGUAUGAGAGAAAGGAUGUGUGUGUGUGUGUGUGUGUGUGUGUGUGUCACUGGGUCAGUAUGCUGUACAGCAGAAAUGGACACCACACUGUAAAUCAAGUAUACAUUAAUUUAAAAAAAGAAGAAGAACUGGGCAAGAGACCCUCAGUGUAGGUGGAGUGAUCAGGGAGGGCUUCUCUGGGGAGGUGGCUUUUUCCC